GACGUAGGGCGCGAGCGUUGUCCGGAUUUAUUGGGCGUAAAGAGCUCGUAGGCGGCUCGUUGCGUCAACCGUGAAAACCCGGGGCUUAACUUCGGGCUUGCGGUUGAUACGGGCGGGCUGGAGUUCGGUAGGGGAGACUGGAAUUCCUGGUGUAGCGGUGAAAUGCGCAGAUAUCAGGAGGAACACCGGUGGCGAAGGCGGUUCUCUGGGCCUGUACUGACGCUGAGGAACGAAAGCGUGGGGAGCGAACAGG
rnacentral:rRNA from 1 species